UCUGGUUGCGAAUUUCUUUUUGCUUUGAAGAAGAAGCCAUGACUAUACAUAUAUCUCAACAAUAUAUCGACUUGGGUUAACUAUUCUAGACUCACAUAAAAACAAUGACAAUGAAAUCCAUCAUAAAUAAUUUACACACAUAAUAUAUUUUUCACAACAAAUAAAAACAUAGAAUAAUUAUUGGAUAAUGUAGUUGAAACUAUAAAAUGAACAGAGCAAAGGCUUAUA
rnacentral:lncRNA from 1 species